GCCUGCUCCAUUAUGCUGCAUGCACACACACACCCACAGCAGGUCUGCUACGAGUGUCGAUGAAGGCCCACACGCGGACUGUCAGCGGCUGUUAUGAUAUCCAGGAGGACGGCAGGGUAGCACAGCAAACCCCGAGCGAGAGAACUGUAACAGCGCUGGGAACAGAAUACAAGACUACAUGAUUAUACACAAAGGAGAAACCAACCGAACUAAAUGCAUAUCAAGAGAACAAAGUGGAAGAGUCUUUAUUCAGGUAAAAUGGAGGAUUCAGCUCCAUCUUGUGGUUCAAAACCAUGACACAGAAAAAUAAACCAUACAACUGUCAUUAGCAGGUGUAAGAGGGAAAGUGUCACCAACAAACUAAUGGACAAAAGGACUGUGCUAAACCGAGGUUCUACCUGAGCUUUGAGAGACCUAAGGAGAAUCUAUAGGAUACCAGCUUGACUUGGGAGCUGCCUGUCAUAUUUCAUUACAAGGCUUCAUAUUACCCAUAUUACAGCAUACGGAGCAACAACAGAAAGAGAGAGAAAGAUCUGAACGUCCUGAUCCAGACAUCCAGCUUCCAUGGAUUGUUGGUCAAAAUUAAUCGUGAUAAUUUGUGUUGCUCUCGCUGAGACAGAUGUAUAAUCGUCGUGCUCGCCUCACAUAUAACACAAUUACACAACUUUAAAAACAAAACAAAAAAGAUAGAGAGAGAGAAAUUCUCCAUCUGGGAUACAAUGAAACAAACUGUGGCUGUUCAGAACAUACUGUCUCAGGUGAAGAAAGAACAUACUGUCUCAGGAAGUGAUGUAAGUGUGAGGGAAUAAACGAGGUAACAAUUAUGACAAUCACUAGCGAACUAAGCUACGGACGAAUAUCUACAUUAAUGCUACUCGAGACUACCAAUGUAAUAUCAAUAAUGAUGAUCUUUUUUUUGUUGCUUUGUUUUUCUUUUUGUCUUUUUUUGUCUUUUUUUAAGAAAUCAUAUAAACGUGCUGUCUGUGCA